UGCACAUGAUGUUUUUCUCACGAUGGUCUUCCAAGCUUCAUUGGUAUAAGAGGCUUUGACGAAAUCUGCCUUUAGGCAUUGCUGAUGCAGCUUG
rnacentral:snoRNA from 1 species